rnacentral:rRNA from 1 species
GACGAACGCUGGCGGCGUGCCUAACACAUGCAAGUCGAACGGAAAGGCCCUGCUUUUGUGGGGUGCUCGAGUGGCGAACGGGUGGGUAACACGUGAGUAACCUGCCCUUGACUUUGGGAUAACUUCAGGAAACUGGGGCUAAUACCGGAUAGGAGCUCCUGCUGCAUGGUGGGGGUUGGAAAGUUUCGGCGGUUGGGGAUGGACUCGCGGCUUAUCAGCUUGUUGGUGGGGUAGUGGCUUACCAAGGCUUUGACGGGUAGCCGGCCUGAGAGGGUGACCGGCCACAUUGGGACUGAGAUACGGCCCAGACUCCUACGGGAGGCAGCAGUGGGGAAUAUUGCACAAUGGGCGGAAGCCUGAUGCAGCAACGCCGCGUGCGGGAUGACGGCCUUCGGGUUGUAAACCGCUUUCGCCUGUGACGAAGCGUGAGUGACGGUAAUGGGUAAAGAAGCACCGGCUAACUACGUG